GGCGCACGGGUGCGUAACGCGUAUGCAAUCUACCUUUGCAGAGGGAUAGCCCAGAGAAAUUUGGAUUAAUACCUCAUAGUAUAGUACUUUGGCAUCAAGGAACUAUUAAAGUCACAACGGCAAAAAGAUGAGCAUGCGUCCCAUUAGCUAGUUGGUAAGGUAACGGCUUACCAAGGCUACGAUGGGUAGGGGUCCUGAGAGGGAGAUCCCCCACACUGGUACUGAGACACGGACCAGACUCCUACGGGAGGCAGCAGUGAGGAAUAUUGGACAAUGGGCGCAAGCCUGAUCCAGCCAUGCCGCGUGCAGGAUGACGGUCCUAUGGAUUGUAAACUGCUUUUAUACAGGAAGAAACACUCCGACGUGUCGGAGCUUGACGGUACUGUAAGAAUAAGGAUCGGCUAACUCCGUG
rnacentral:rRNA from 1 species